UUUUAUUUGAGAGUUUGAUCCUGGCUCAGGAUGAACGCUGGCGGCGUGCCUAACACAUGCAAGUUGAGCGAUUUACUUCGGUAAAGAGCGGCGGACGGGUGAGUAACGCGUGGGUAACCUACCCUGUACACACGGAUAACAUACCGAAAGGUAUGCUAAUACGGGAUAAUAUAUUUGAGAGGCAUCUCUUGAAUAUCAAAGGUGAGCCAGUACAGGAUGGACCCGCGUCUGAUUAGCUAGUUGGUAAGGUAAC
rnacentral:rRNA from 1 species